AUACGCAGGUUUUGCAUCCCCCUUCUCCCCAGCCACGCUUCCCUUGCUGCCCUGGGAAGUUUUUUGGAAAAGCGGUGACGAUGCCACAGCAAUGCCCUCUCCCUUCUCCCAGCGUGCUUCCCAAGCUUCCCACCGCAGCAGCUAGGUGGCAAAAGUUCCCUCCAGCCUGGCAAACUUAAUGAUUCCCUUUUGUGAAGAGCCUGCCUGCGGAUCCAAACACUCCUUAUUCUAAAACGAUACACACAUAUGCAGAGCGCGCUUCCAGAGGGUCCUUGCACCGCCCGAAUCCGGCAGCAAAACUAAGACACACAGGGCUACAGCGAAGAUCUUCUUACAGAAAUGCAUCUCUGGUAGCAACCCGGAACGCAUCUUCCCAAGGAGAGAUCCAGCAAGGAGCCCGGCUCUCGGGAUCCAGGCGGGAACCCACAGAACAUCACUAAGUCAAGAUUUCUCUGCUUCAAGAUUUGUGGUGCAGCUCCUCACACCAAAUUCCCGCUACCUUCAAGGAUUUUGAGUGAGAUUGCUUCAUACAUCAUCACUGAGCAAGGAGUCAUCCUCUGGGCAUGAAUCUCUGUGAACUCCCAUUCCACAAGUGGUUUCAAUAAGGCAAAUCCUGCAGUAACAUAAAUUGCUGUCAGAUGACAGUGCAAGAACACGGGUGAGACUUGAGCAUCUCCUCAGGAGCUGUGAAACCCUCAGCGUCAUUUGUUACAGGGAGGAAGAUGUAUCUGAAUGAAGGGACAGGCAUUUUAUCAGGCUACAGCAAUAAAAUCGUUUUUUUGGGACCAGGA